rnacentral:rRNA from 1 species
GCCCGUAGCAGAGGACAUAUCAUAAGCGGAGGAGCAUAUCAAUAAGCGGAGGAGCAUAUCAAUAAGCGGAGGAGCAUAUCAAUAAGCGGAGGAGCAUAUCAAUAAGCGGAGGAACAUAUCAAUAAGCGGAGGAACAUAUCAAUAAGCGGAGGAGCAUAUCAAUAGGCGGAGGGACAUUUAAAUAAGCGGAGGAACCUAUCAAUAGGCGGAGGAAUUUUUCAUUGCGGAGAGGAACGUAUCAUCAAUUCUUUGACGCACCUUGCGCUCCAUGGGAUUCCGUGGACCAUGCCUGUUUGAGUGUCAUGAGUACUUCAACCCUCCUCUUUCUUUAUGAUCAAAGAAGUGUUUGGAUUCUGAUCGUUUUGCUGGCCAAACGGUCGAGCUCGCUCGUAAUGCAUUAGCAUCCGCAAUCUAGCUUCGGAUUGACUUGGCGUAAUAGACUUUUCCCUGAGGAAUUCUAGUCUUCUGACUAUAGCCGGGUUGGAUUAAAGGAAGCUUCUACUCCUAAUGUCU